UACGAAGGGGCUAGCGUUGUUCGGAAUUACUGGGCGUAAAGCGCACGUAGGCGGAUAUUAAGUCAGGGGUGAAAUCCCAGAGCUCAACUCUGGAACUGCCUUGAUACUGGGUAUCUUGAGUAUGGAAGAGGUAAGUGGAAUUGCGAGUGUAGAGGUGAAAUUCGUAGAUAUUCGCAGGAACACCAGUGGCGAAGGCGGCUUACUGGUCCAUAACUGACGCUGAG
rnacentral:rRNA from 1 species